ensembl:lncRNA
CUCAGUUAUGCCACAGGGAAGCAACCAGCAUAGAGGUGAAGACAACAUUCUGGCACAGCUUUUCAUCAACAUCUCAGGGUACAAACAAGGUGAAUAGUUUAGUGGAAAUUACAAACGAAAAUCAAAGGUCUAAGUUGCUCUGCUGUUAAACCUAGGGCAGCUGGUAGCAAUUCUAUUCAACAUGAACACUGAACAGGAACAGGCAGAUGUGAAGGAGUGUGAGCUGUUCUGGCCACGCUGACACACCUUUGGAAUGUUCCAUUUCCCAUAAGUCAGAAGAAGCCAGUAAGAGUUGCCAAUUGGUCCCUUUCUUCCACUGCAUUGAGAUGAUUAUAUGUAAACGUUUGCAAAUUAAAGCUGCAAAAUGUUCUUAAACCACUCACUGG